UUGUUGAAGUGAUGUUUUCCAGCCGCAGCGGGUAUGUUAGGCUUAGCUUCGGUGCAGUGUAAUGUCGCGAGGUAGCCAGACGUAGUUUGAGUUCGUGUUGUCGUCGUCAGGGGCUGACAGUAAUCGCCGUUCUACAUUGUGGGAAACCUACUUAACGUGAGAGCGUGCGUAGUUCAAUCUGCGCUUUGAUGUUGUUUUUAAAGAUGUUUUCCACCCGCGUUGGCCAUUGUAAGCUUAGUUGAGUUGCCGUGAUUGCGGUCGCUAGUUAUUCCGUUGUGGAGCUGUUUGUGUUCGUAUUGCUCGAUGGUGUCGUAAGGCAUCCACGUGUGGUAAAACUCCGUUCUCCAUCGCGUGAACUCGUCGAACGAGAUGUACGUACAUCACGGUUUAAAGUUUUCUCUGUGAAAGCGAAGUACCGUAUUCACUCUGUCGUAACGCGACUGCGAUUUUAGGCCUAGUUUCGUUGCAGUGAUCGUAGUCGCGCCGUGCCGCUGUACCAGAAGUACUUUGUGUUUCUUGGUAUGGUAUCGUGAGGCAUCCACCGAAGGCAUAUUCUGCGAUAUUUUGGCUUUGUCGAAACUGAUGAGAGGUCAUGCCGUUCGUCUAGCAACGUGAAGUGCUCUUUCGCCAGAGUAGGCUGUCUUCUUGUACUUCGUUCAAAUAUGAACACAAGUCGAGAUGCCGUCAAGAGCAGAGUUCGCCGUGAGGUUGAUGCUUUGUUCGAGACGUUUGGUCAUCCCGACGAGGCGUGCGGCAGCUCACAGCCCAGUAAGCGUGCGCGGCAGGUUAGAGACAUUCAGUCGAAUUCACAAACCAGUUGUCCAAGAAGCGAGUCGCCUAACUCCGGCACUCUAAGUGCGACGCCUGAGUGCAGUGACGCGGCUAGAGGCGAUACUGCAGGAUGUUCUGAUUCCGCAGAAAGCAUUUCAGAUAGUUCAGGGAGCAGUGCGGAGGAUUUCUGUGAUUGGAGUUCACCUGAACACCGUGACGAUUUGUCAGGGUUCUUGCCUAACGAAGACUGUGCCAGCGCGCAGGAAGCCACUGGACGUGCACCAGAUGAAAGUAGUAGCGGUGAUUUCAAAGCUUUGCUUGCUCAGUGGGCCUUGGAGCAUAAUAUUGCCCAUAGGUCUCUGACACCUCUACUAGGUAUCUUAAGAACCCAUGGGUGCUUCCAGAGUCUUCCAAAGGAUGCUAGGACUUUACUGAAGACUCCUCGUAACACAGCUGACGUAGCGGGUGUUUCAGAGUUACCUCCUGGUUUAUAUUGCCAUUAUGGACUUCGGAGAGGUUUGGAGAGAGUUCUUGCUUGCUUGGAUGGCUGCCCACAACUCGUCAGCUUGAACUUCAACAUUGAUGGCAUUCCUCUCUCAAAGAGUUCGAGACAGCAGCUGUGGCCUAUUCAGUGCCUAGUACUCUCUUGUGGUUCUGUCCUGUCAGAAAGGCCGUUUAUUGUGGGUGCAUUUUUUGGGCCAUCAAAGCCAAGCUGUGCAAACAUGUUCCUAAGGCCUUUCGUUGAUGAUCUGAAGGAUGUUCUUGUUGAGGGAGUUUUAGUGAAAGGAUCUCUGGUGAGGGUAGAGGUCAGCAGCGUAAUAUGCGAUGCACCUGCACGCUCUUUCAUUUUCAAAACAAAAGGGCACAGUAGCUACAAUGGUUGCCCGAAAUGCACGGCUGAAGGUAGCUACGCAGAUAGAGUAUGCUUUUCGCCAACAGCAGGUGUUCCGAGAACAGAUCAGUCGUUUCGUCAGCAGCAAGAUCCUGACCACCACCAGGGCGUGUCUAUUUUGACCGAGCUGCCCAUUGACUGUAUUAGAAAUGUCCCUCUCGAUCCAAUGCACUUGGUAUAUUUAGGCGUGGCACGAAAGCUGGUCAAUCUUUGGCUUUCUGGCCCCCUUUCAGUGCGCCUGGGUCCCCUGGAGCGUGAGGAGAUUUCAAAGCAGAGUUUAGCUUUGCAGAAUAACGUUCCUUGUGAAUUUGCACGGAAGCCAAGGGGGCUUGAUGAAAAGGAUAGGUGGAAAGCAACAGAAUUCCGCCUCUUUCUCCACUACACAGGGCCUAUAAUUUUGAAAGAAAGCUUGUCUGAGGCUGCUUAUAAGAACUUCUUGACUUUGCAUGUGGCAACCUCCAUACUAAGCACACCUGGAUUGUGUCAGGAGCAUGGAGCAUAUGCAAACACUCUACUGGAUCAUUUUGUAAAGGGCUUCGUGGACCUUUACGGAGCCAGUAAUGUGUCCUAUAAUGUGCAUUGCCUCCUGCAUCUAGCUACUGACUGUGAGUUGUAUGGAACUUUAGAUGCCUUUUCUGCAUUCCCUUUCGAAAGUAACUUGCAGCUAGUUAAAAAGCUUUUGCGUAGGCCAGGCUUCCCUCUCAGCCAGCUUUACAACAGGAUGCACGAAAGAGCUCACGCAGAGCCAGUUGGCGCAAGGCAUACUGCAGAUUAUGAGCUUCUUGGUGGCUAUGAAGGAGACGGCCUGCCACUGGGUUGCAAAUCACCCCAGUACGCCUCGGUGAAGUUCCCGUCAUUUACUCUAAGCAAGAAGGAAGCUGACAGGUGUUGCAAAAUAAAUGAUGAUGUUGUUUUGAUCCAUAUGAUUGCGCAUGACCAGAAUGGGCAGCCAUGCAUCAUUGGCCGAUGUUUCUUAAGUGCAGAACCUCUUUACAGCUACCCCUUCGAUUCUAGAAGGCUUGGCAUAGCUGUUGUCGACAAAUUGUCUUCUCUGAGGUGUUGGCCAAUUGUCAAUAUCAGAAAACUAGUGUUGCUUCCUUACAAUGGCAUGUAUGUUGUAUUGCCUCUGCUACAUACCAGUGCGUGUCAUUAAUGGCAGUUUCAUAGUCCGGCACAGAUAGGCAUCUCUGUCUUGUUUAGACGAAGUGAAUAGGAUGUAUUCAUAAUGCUUUGUGCUCUAAAUACCUUGCAUCAUUAAACUGGCACGGCAGAUGUUGAGGUGGGAUGAGACUUUGUAUCGAAUUUUAGCAGUACAGAAGUGGUAAUAAAAGCUAUGCCUAUGACACUUGCAACAUAUUUUAAAGCUAGAGGCAGGUUGCAUUGCAGUGGUAGGUUACUGUAAAAUUGUGUGUAGUGUUGUUUAGUUUUUGGUGCUGUUAGUAAUGUAGUGCUUAUUCAUUAAGAAAUAAAGUUGUUUCUCUCUCUCUUAUUCAUUAAGAUAUCAUAUUUGCAGAACAUUUCAAUUUUGUACAAAGAUAGCUACUGAUGCUUAGGAUUUGGAACUGAAAUUGUGGGCGUACAAAAAGUAGAUUUGCUUUUUAAGUUUGUUGGUGUGUGAGAACUAUAACUUCUGGUUUGUGUUGUUACUAAAAAUAUGUAAAUGCCUCUAAUUAGCACAUGUGAAAAUUUUUGUUCGCUCAUGCCCGCAAGAAAAAAGUUGACGAACUUCAAAGAGGUUGUUUUGAGGAAAACGCUGAAGUUGCGUAGGAGCACACGCACAUUUCCGGUCAAUGUGUGGAUGAAAUAAAACCAAAAAUUAUAUUGGACACCUUGAGCGCCCAAGUGUGAUAUAUUUCUUGAAAGAUAACGUAAUUCUCUAUCAGGUGAUUGCAAAAUUACAAAAUUGAAUUUUCCUGACCAAAGGAAGUCUCACCCCACCUCAAAUGAUUGCUGACUUCUAGUAUUGCUGUGACGUUUGACAGCCAUCAAAUCUUGCGGGUAAGAAUUUCACAGCAGACACUUUUUCUGCUGCUUUAAAAAUGCAAGUUUCAAGCAGUGAUCUAUGAGAGAGCACCUCUGCUUUUUGUUACAUUAUUCUUUGCAGAUGAAGUUCUCUGUAGUAGAAUUCAAAGACGACAAAUCUAUAGCCGUCGUUCCGUCCUCAUGGAUUCGUGGGCGAAAGUGCUUCUGGCCCCCUGGUCCUGGCAGCAAGACAGCAAUGGUUCAGAAAGGUGUGCAGCCUUCACCAAGGUGGAAAGCGUACGCCAUGCUCAUGAAAGCAACAUUUAACAACUAUCGCGAUGCUCGUCUGGCACUACCACGCCUGCAGUACACAUCAGAGUUGGAGAGCACUGGGGGAGGAAAGAGAAAGGCCAUGAAGAACCACGAAGUGAAGACAGCGAAGAUGUACCUGUUCAGGUAGAUGCUGAUGCAGAAGACGAAGGAGUGCUUUUGGAGCUUCAU
rnacentral:misc_RNA from 1 species